UCUACAGCCAUACCACCCUAAACGUGCCCAAUCUUGUCUGAUCUCAGAGGCUAAGCAGGGUUGGGCCUGGUUGGUACUUGAAUAGAAAUUUAUAGCACAUUACAGUAAUCAGUGCAGUCAGAA
ensembl:rRNA 5S_rRNA 5S ribosomal RNA